ACCGUACUCCUACGGGAGGCAGCAGUGGGGUAUUUUGGACAGUGGGGGCAACCCUGAUCCAGCCAUGCCGCGUGAGUGAAGAAGGCCUUCGGGUUGUAAAGCUCUUUCGGCCGGGAAGAAAUCGCAUGGGUGAAUACCCUGUGUGGAUGACGGUACCGGAACAAGAAGCACCGGCUAACUACGUGCCAGCAGCCGCGGUAAUACGUAGGGUGCGAGCGUUAAUCGGAAUUACUGGGCGUAAAGCGUGCGCAGGCGGUUUGGUAAGACAGGCGUGAAAUCCCCGGGCUUAACCUGGGAACUGCGCUUGUGACUGCCAGGCUAGAGUACGGCAGAGGGGGGUGGAAUUCCACGUGUAGCAGUGAAAUGCGUAGAGAUGUGGAGGAACACCAAUGGCGAAGGCAGCCCCCUGGGUCGAUACUGACGCUCAUGCACGAAAGCGUGGGUAGCAAACAGGAUUAGAUACCCGUGUAGUCCUUGAC
rnacentral:rRNA from 1 species